GAAUUGUAUAAUGUUUAUUGUUUCAUUCUUUAUUCAUUUGUUAAUACAAGAAUUAAAACGAACAAUCCGUUAACCAUUUCAAAACAAGAUCAAAACCUCGAUCCAUUGUCGAGUAAUCAUGUUCAAAACUUAACAAAACCAGCACGUAUUCAUCCAUUCUUUUGUAAGUCGAUUGCUUCAUGCAUCACCAUUUUUCUUGUAAGUCGAUUGCUUCUGGCAUCG
rnacentral:lncRNA from 1 species